rnacentral:tRNA from 2 species
GGGGGAUUAGCUCAGUUGGGAGAGCGCUACAAUGGCAUUGUAGAGGUCAGGGGUUCGAGUCCCCUAUCCUCCA